GUAGGGGGCAAGCGUUGUCCGGAUUUACUGGGCGUAAAGAGCGUGUAGGCGGCCAAGCAGGUCUGUUGUGAAAACUGGAGGCUCAACCUCCAGACGUCGACAGAAACCGUUUGGCUAGAGUCCGGAAGAGGAGAGUGGAAUUCCUGGUGUAGCGGUGAAAUGCGCAGAUAUCAGGAAGAACACCAAUGGCGAAGGCAGCUCUCUGGGACGGUACUGACGCUGAGACGCGAAAGCGUGGGGAGCGAACAGGAUUAGAUACCCUGGUAGUCCACGCCGUAAACGAUGGGUGCUAGGUGUGGGGGGUGUCGACUCCCUCCGUGCCGCAGCUAACGCAUUAAGCACCCCGCCUGGGGAGUACGGCCGCAAGGCUA
rnacentral:rRNA from 1 species